GCCGGGGGAGGGGGCGGCCCCGCGGCUGCCCCCGGGGGAAGGGGGGAGCCCUCCGCCCCCCCAGCUACGCAGCGAGUAACGAGCGGCGGCAGCCGCUGCCGCCGCGCUCUAAAGGGUUGUGGUUUUCUCUCUCCCUCCCUCCCCCUUUCCUGAGAUAAAAAUCUCAGGACAGCGGAGGCCGUAGCGUUGACGAGGCUAUUAAGAUGCUGUUUCUCAUCUCCGUGUGCACACUUGCUCCCAGUGCCACCUGAUCUCUCACCCGACCUUCACGUCGCAGGGAUACAGCUAUAUCCUAUCUGAAGAAAUCACCUUAUGGAACUUGGACAUGCUGACAGAGGACAGAGUCUGGCUGUGGGUCCAGUCCCUUCUUCUCCUCCAUGGUGUCCGGUCGGGAUCUGCUCCCUCGAGUCCUGGCACAGGUCGCUCCCCCUGCAGCCGAACCGCCUCUGCACCCACCAGGGCUCAGCCCAGUGCAUAGGAGUCAGCAGGGAAACGCAACCUUCACCUGCACCAAUUCUAAGGAAGCUGAUGAAAAAAAAAUCAGCAUAGCAGCCAACUGUUAUCAGGUUAAAUACGUGAUAAAACUAGACACGAGGACCCUUCCUCCCACAGCCUUCACACGCCGCCAAGGCACAGGGGAACCUGUGACCGUCUGUGACAAGCACUAUGCACAUUUGCAGGCAAUGAAUACCUGUUGUGACAAAAAAUACGAAAUAAAGCGAAUAAAAUUGCACGGGUUGUUAUUUCAACUUGGGAUAAUGACUCCACAAGCAUCUGCAGCCUGACAUAUCGCCUAGAUUAAUGUUGCUUUCAAGAACAUGGCUUGAUUUUUCCUUUAAACAUUUGUCUUCACCAACAAGCCCCUCACCUUAGUGCCGCAUAAUUGACUCUGUCUUGAAGCUACUAGAGCUUGUCACAGCGCUUUAAAUAUUGGGCCAGCCUCAGCUCUCGGGUAGCCAAGGGAAACUCCCGAGAAGCCGGCAGGGUUUCACCUCCUGGUGCCACGGAGGACUCUGGCGAGUGGAAGCCCAUCGCCUGCCAGCGUGCUGAGCGGCUCAGUGCUGCUGCCUCCAGCCCUGCUCAGCUGGGCUACCGGCAGCCUGGCGGUCCAAGCCCAAGCGCUCGCCUGCCCCGGCUGCUGGCGAGGGGAGAAGCGGGGAAGUCUCUUUGCCAUCCACUCCUUCUACGACACGAAACCAGGUAGCUCUUCACUGCCUUCAAAAGCAAUGGUCUGUCUUCCUUUUUAAAUGAAAUAUCUUAAUAAUAUCUGAAUUAAUAAUUUCACUAUAUUUUGUUGUCAAGUUCACUGGCCAAGGAGGCCAAGUGCAAUCAUUGUAUCAGGGAAGCUGUAUAUUCCCUUUCAACCACGCACCAACCUUCCUCCUAAGCAGGAGGAAACCAGAACCAACAAAAACUUAUUAGCUACAAACUAUGUUAUCACUUUCUCAAAAGAUACAGUUUUAAGCAUUAUUUAGAGCACGGAAAGGAAAAAAGAGAGGAAACUGUUUAAAGUCAACCACACAAAGGUAAGAUCUGUUCAGAUAAAUGUAUACGUGACUGCAGAAUACUCUUUGGUCUUCUUUCUAUCAAAUCUAAAAAAUUAUUUUUAAUUGAUUCUUGAAGCACUUUUUGAAGUUCAAUAAAUGCUUCAGAAAUCAGUUGGGAGUCCA
ensembl:lncRNA